rnacentral:rRNA from 1 species
UACGGAGGGUGCGAGCGUUGUCCGGAAUCACUGGGCGUAAAGGGCGCGUAGGAGGCCUGAUAAGUAGGGGGUGAAAUCCUGAGGCUUAACCUCAGGGCUGCCUUCUAAACUGUCAGGCUCGAGCACAGUAGAGGAAGGUGGAAUUCCCGGUGUAGCGGUGGAAUGCGUAGAGAUCGGGAAGAACAUCAGUGGCGAAGGCGGCCUGCUGGGCUGUUGCUGACGCUGAGGCGCGACAGCGUGGGGAGCAAACAGG